rnacentral:rRNA from 1 species
UGAAUCCGGUGAUCCUGCCGGAGGCCGUUGCUAGCGAAACCCGAUUUAGCCAUGCUAGACGCGCGAGUUCAGACUCGCGGCGCCGAGCUCAGUAACACGUGGCCAAACUACCCUACAGAGACGGAUACCCUCGGGAAACUGAGGUUAACCCGUCAUACCGAUCUCAGGCUUGAAUCGCAGAGAUCACAAAACGCCCCGGCGCUGUAGGAUGUGGCUGCGGUUGAUUAGGUAGACGGUGGGGUAACGGCCCACCGUGCCCAUAAUCAGUACAGGUUGUGAGAGCAAGAACCUGGAGACGGAAUCUGAGACAAGAUUCCGGGCCCUACGGGGCGCAGCAGGCGCGAAACCUUUACACUGCACGCACGUGCGAUAAGGGGACUCCGAGUGCGAGGGCAUAUCGUCCUCGCUUUCGUGUACCGUAGGGUGGUACACCAACAAGGGCUGGGCAAGACCGGUGCCAGCCGCCGCGGUAAUACCGGCAGCCCGAGUGAUGGCCGAUCUUAUUGGGCCUAAAGCGUCCGUAGCU